rnacentral:rRNA from 1 species
CCUUGAUGACGACUGGCGCACGGGUGAGUAACGCGUAUCCAACCUUCCCAUAACUACGGGAUAACCCGUUGAAAGACGGCCUAAUACCGUAUGACAUCGUUUGCUGACAUCAAAUAACGAUUAAAGGUUUAGCGGUUAUGGAUGGGGAUGCGUCUGAUUAGCUUGUUGGCGGGGUAACGGCCCACCAAGGCGACGAUCAGUAGGGGUUCUGAGAGGAAGGUCCCCCACAUUGGAACUGAGACACGGUCCAAACUCCUACGGGAGGCAGCAGGU